GAUGAACGCUGGCGGCGUGCUUAACACAUGCAAGUCGAACGGAAAGGUCCUGCUUUUGCGGCUUGCUCGAGUGGCGAACGCGUGUGUAACACGCGUGUAUCCCCCACCUGACUUUGGGAUAACUUCAGGAAACUGGGGCUAAUACCGGAUAUGAGCUUCUGCACCAUGUUGGUGUAUGGAAAGUUUGGGCGGUGCUGGCUAGACUCGCUGCUCAUGCGCUGGUUGGUGGGGUAGUGGCUUACCAAGGCUGUGAGGGGUAGCCGACCUAGGAGGGGUAACGGGCACAAUGGGACUGAGGUACGGCGCAGACUGCUACGGGACGCAGCAGUGGGGAAUAUUGCACAAUGGGCGGAAGCCUGAUGCAGCAGCGCCGCGUGCGGGAUGACGGGCUUCGAGUGGUGAACAGAUUUCGCCGGUAACGUAGCGUGAGUGACGGUAAUGGGUAAGGAAGCACCGGCUAACUACGUG
rnacentral:rRNA from 1 species